CUCUCUCUCUCUCUCUCUCUCUCUCUGCUACAUUGAAGGACGGCGAUUCAUCUUUUCGAAUCCACUUAUCCUGGUCUGAUAUCACCGCGGAAGUCUUCGUGAUCGGCCUCACCCACACGUCUGCACUUGAUCUUACUACGAGAUUCCACUGCCGAUGUCACCAGUAGUCCGUAUGACCCACCUACAGCGCAAGGCCUCGGACCCUCACCACGUCACCCUCGACUCUCAAGCGUUGCCCCCAAAACAAGUUACGUGUGCUGUGUCUCGAUGUAUCUCACCCCUUGAAAUAGCAUCCCGUAAGCCAAGAUGUUGACGGUGAUGCAAUUCAAGUCUUCCAUGACCUCACCCUCUAGGACGGAGCGGACACCUCACUCCCUUCCCAGCUUCCCAGGACACUCCCGCCCACACAGCAGCCGUCCCGCCCCUGUGAUAUUCUUCAGUGAUGCGGGAUGACAGCGAACUGCCGCCACUGAUAGGACUCAAGGUGAAGGCACGUCCUGCACCCGCGCCCUUGUGGAAGAUGGAGUGGAGCAAGUGUGUUGUAUAUAUAGUUUGGAAGCUAAGGUGUGUGUGUGUGUGUGUGUGUGUGUG